CCGGUAGGAUGGAAGCGGAUAGAGCCAGCGAAGCUGCUCGUAUUCAGCCGAAAGCCAUGGGCUUCGGGCGGUUUGGAUGCUAACCACGCCCGACUGUCUGUUUGAGCCUGUGGUUGGGGUGCAUUUGCGGGCAAUUGCGCUGAGACUUGUGGAGCAGCGACUUGACACGUGCAUAGAGGCUUCCCUUUGGGUUGAACCUUUGCGCGCCGAUGGUUGUUUGCCCUGCUCGUAACCGGGCUUGGCCUCGACGAGUCCAUGCGUUGUUGUUGCGUCUAUGCCAAGUGAUCGCAUGCGAUCUCUAGCUUGGGCGUCUCAGCUGCGUAUGGCGCUCCCAAGUUCGCUCUCGGUGUAGAAGCUGGUCAUCUAUCCGACCCGUCUUGAAACACGGACCAAGGAGUUUAGCGUAUGCGCGAGUCAUUGGGUGUUAAAAACUCACAGGCGCAAUGAAAGUGAAGGCCCAGCCGCUGGGCUUACAUGCGAAUGGUCGGACUUUGGUUCGGCCAUGCAGCAUGGUCCCGUUCCGAUCGCUUGCGAUGGAGCGGAGACAGAGCGUAUGCGCUG
rnacentral:rRNA from 1 species